GACGAACGCUGGCGGUGUGCUUAACACAUGCAAGUCAACGAGAAUUUAUCUUCGGAUAAUAGUAAAGUGGCGAACGGGUGAGUAACGCGUAAAUAACUUGCCUUGGAGAUUGGGACAACAUUGGGAAACCAGUGCUAAUACCAAAUAAUGCAGCGGGCUCUUCGGAGCACAGUUGUUAAAGUAGGCUUCGGCUUACACUUUGAGAUAGGUUUGCGUCCGAUUAGUUAGUUGGUAGGGUAAUUGCCUACCAAGACUAAGAUCGGUAGCUGGUCUGAGAGGAUGAUCAGCCACACUGGAAUUGAGAUACGGUCCAGACUCCUACGGGAGGCAGCAGUAAGGAAUUUUGCACAAUGGGCGAAAGCCUGAUGCAGCAACGCCGCGUGAACGAUGAAGUUUUUAGGAAUGUAAAGUUCUGUCGUAUGGGAAGAGAUCUUUCGA
rnacentral:rRNA from 1 species